rnacentral:rRNA from 1 species
GAUGAACGCUGGCGGCGUGCCUAAUACAUGCAAGUCGAGCGAACGGACGAGAAGCUUGUUUCUCUGUUGUUAGCGGCGGACGGGUGAGUAACACGUGGAUAACCUACCUAUAAGACUGGGAUCACUUCGGGAAACCGGCGCUAAUACCGGAUAAUAUUUUGAACCGCAUGGUUCAAAAGUGAAAGACGGUCUUGCUGUCACUUAUAGAUGGAUCCGGGCUGCAUUAGCUAGUUGGUAAGGUAACGGCUUACCAAGGCAACGAUGCAUAGCCGACCUGAGAGGGGGAUCGGCGACACUGGAACGGAGGCACGGUCCAGACGCCUACGGGAGGCAGCAGUAGGGAAUCUUCCGCAAUGGGCGAAAGCCUGACGGAGCAACGCCGCGUGAGUGAUGAAGGUCUUCGGAUCGUAAAACUCUGUUAUUAGGGAAGAACAUAUGUGUAAGUAACUGUGCACAUCUUGACGGUACCUAAUCAGAAAGCCACGGCUAACUACGUG